rnacentral:snRNA from 1 species
AUCGCUUCUCGGCCUUUUGGCUAAGAUCAAGUGUAGUAACAUUUGCUGGCAGUGGUAGCCAAUUCAUUAAGAUAUGAAAAGAGUAUAAAUGUAAAAAGAUCACAAGGAAGAAACAAGACCUUUA